rnacentral:rRNA from 1 species
CCUACGGGAGGCACCAGUGGGGAAUAUUGCACGAUGGGCGCAAGCCUGAUGCAGCCAUGCCGCGUGUAUGAAGAAGGCCCUCGGGUUGUAAAGUACUUUCAGCGGGAAGGAAGGUGUUGUGGUUAAUAACCACAGCAAUUGACGUUACCCGCAGAAGAAGCACCGGCUAACUCCGUGCCAGCAGCCGCGGUAAUACGGAGGGUGCAAGCGUUAAUCGGAAUUACUGGGCGUAAAGCGCACGCAGGCGGUCUGUCAAGUCGGAUGUGAAAUCCCCGGGCUCAACCUGGGAACUGCAUUCGAAACUGGCAGGCUAGAGUCUUGUAGAGGGGGGUAGAAUUCCAGGUGUAGCGGUGAAAUGCGUAGAGAUCUGGAGGAAUACCGGUGGCGAAGGCGGCCCCCUGGACAAAGACUGACGCUCAGGUGCGAAAGCGUGGGGAGCAAACCGGAUUAGAUACCCCAGUAGUC